UACGUAGGGUGCAAGCGUUGUCCGGAAUUAUUGGGCGUAAAGAGCUCGUAGGCGGUCUGUUGCGUCGGCUGUGAAAUCCCGAGGCUCAACCUCGGGUCUGCAGUCGAUACGAGCAAACUAGAGUGUUGCAGGGGAGACUGGAAUUCCUGGUGUAGCGGUGAAAUGCGCAGAUAUCAGGAGGAACACCGGUGGCGAAGGCGGGUCUCUGGGCAACAACUGACGCUGAAGAGCGAAAGCGUGGGGAGCGAACAGG
rnacentral:rRNA from 1 species